rnacentral:lncRNA from 1 species
CCGACCCAGCAAGAACCCUAAAAUUUUGCUUUCAACAACUCUGAUUCCCUCACUCCCUUCUACGUCUUUUUGUGUGUAUUUUAGGUGCUUAGAAGAAAGACAUACCUGGAAAGGCUAUGGGAAAUUCUUGUUGCUUUACAAGAGCUUAAGGUAAUUUCAAUUUUGCCCUGUUAUUUAAUUUUUAAGAUUCAGUUUUUUGGGUUUUUUUUCUUCUUUCUAAUGGGUUUGUAGGAAGAGGGUUUAUGGAAGGACCUCAAUUCACAAGGUGGCAAUGAAGAUGUAAAGGGGAGUUCUUUUUUUACGAUUUCUUAAUUUAUGUUUUUUUAGAAGUAUAAUUGGUUUAUUAGGUUUGGUAUUAGUUAAUCUUAGUCUUAGUAAUAAUUUAAUGAUUCAAUCCCUUGUCUGUUAUUAUGAUAUAUUAUUGAUGCAUAGCCUACCAAUUGUGUGCAAAUAUUUGAAAUCAAAGGGUAAAAGGACUUAUUCACACUACUUCGGAAAAUCUAAGUAUUGACACUUUUUUUGAACAAAAGUAUUGACACUUAAAUCAAUAUAUCUUGAUAAUAUAGAAGUUUGAUGUAUAAUUAUAGAAUAAUUAGGGUGUGUGUGUAUAAUAAGGAAUUUUAUAUAUGAUAAUUGAAUCAUUCUAUGUGGCGUGAGUUGAAACUUAAAAGAGUACAAAAAUUGCUAUACCUUAAAUUUUACUCUUAUUUGAAAUUUUGAAUAGUCUAUAAUGGGAUAUUGUUUGAUAGUAAUGAUUUAAUGUCCUCCGAUUGUAUGUUUGUUUGAUGUCAUUUGUUGCUUGGGCGAGUCUGUGCUGCUGUAUGUUUACAUUUAUUUGCUAUUUCUAAACUUUUGUUAUUCCCUCCCUUGUUAAUUGCAUUAAAAUUUCCACUAUAUUUGUCUUUUUUCUUUAUGCUGUCAUUGGGACUUCAUAUCCCAUGAACUGUUUGGCUAGGUGAUUCUUUCAUGCUGAGUGUGUUUUGGUGUUGUUUUUUCUACUGUGCAACUGUGGUUUUUGAACAAUUUACCUUCUUGUCUGUCUCACAAUUGAAGGUUCCAUCUUUCUUAUGCUUCUCGGCUGC